rnacentral:tRNA from 1 species
GCCUGGGUGGCUUAGUCGGUUGAGCAUCCGACUUCAGCUCAGGUCAUGAUCUCACAGCUCGUGAGUUCGAGCCCCAUGUCAGGCU